rnacentral:rRNA from 2 species
AGAGUUUGAUCCUGGCUCAGGAUGAACGCUGGCGGCGUGCUUAACACAUGCAAGUCGAACGAUGAAGCCUAGCUUGCUGGGUGGAUUAGUGGCGAACGGGUGAGUAACACGUGAGCAACCUGCCCCUGACUCUGGGAUAAGCGCUGGAAACGGUGUCUAAUACUGGAUAUGAACUUGAACCGCAUGGUUACUUGUUGGAAAGAUUUUUCGGUUGGGGAUGGGCUCGCGGCCUAUCAGCUUGUUGGUGAGGUAAUGGCUCACCAAGGCGACGAUCAGUAGCCGGCCUGAGAGGGCGGACGGCCACACUGGGACUGAGACACGGCCCAGAACUCCUACGGGAGGCAGCAGUGGGGAAUUGUUCGCAAUGGGCGCAAGCCUGACGACGCAACGCCGCGUGGAGGAUGAAGGUCUUCGGAUUGUAAACUCCUGCCGACCGGAAAGAAUGGGGCUCCGAGCUAAUACAUCGGAGCAAUGACGGUACCGGUUGAGGAAGCCACGGCUAACUCUGUGCCAGCAGCCGCGGUUAU